GUUAUAGGAUCAAGUGAAUAAGUGCAUGUGGUGGAUGCCUUGGCGAUUACAGGCGAUGAAGGACGUGGAAGCCUGCGAAAAGCUUCGGGAAGCUGGCAAACAAGCUAUGAUCCGGAGAUGUCCGAAUGGGGAAACCCGAUCCUUGCUUAAUCGAUUUUUAAUUAAUAAGAAUUGAUUAAGCAAGGAUCAACCUUAACUGAAUAUAUAGGUUAAGUGUGGCGAACCUGGUGAACUGAAACAUCUAAGUAACCAGAGGAAAAGAAAUCAACUGAGAUUCCCAAAGUAGUGGCGAGCGAAAUGGGAAAAGCCGUCAAUAUUUAGCAUUUAAACUAAUCGAAUUUUCUGGAAAGUUAAACCAUAGUAGGUGAUAGUCCUGUAGAUGAAAGUUUAGAUGUGGAACUAGGAUUGAGAUAAGUAGGGCGGGACACGUGAAAUCCUGUCUGAAUAUGGGGGGACCAUCCUCCAAGGCUAAAUACUCGUAAUCGACCGAUAGUGAACAAGUACCGUGAGGGAAAGGUGAAAAGAACCCCGGGAGGGGAGUGAAAUAGAUCCUGAAACCGCAUGCAUACAAACAGUGGGAGCCUGAUAUCUUGUAUAUUGGGUGACUGCGUACCUUUUGUAUAAUGGGUCAGCGACUUACAUUCAGUAGCAAGCUUAACCGAAUAGGGGAGGCGCAGCGAAAGCGAGUCUUAAUAGGGCGUCAAGUUGCUGGGUGUAGACCCGAAACCAGAUGAUCUACCCAUGGCCAGGAUGAAGCGAGGGUAACACCUCGUGGAGGUCCGAACCCACUAAUGUUGAAAAAUUAGGGGAUGAGCUGUGGGUAGGGGUGAAAGGCUAAACAAAUCUGGAGAUAGCUGGUUCUCUCCGAAAACUAUUUAGGUAGUGCCUCACGUAUCACCUUUGGGGGUAGAGCACUGUUAUGGCUAGGGGGUCAUUGAGACUUACCAAACCAUUGCAAACUCCGAAUACCAAAGAGUGCAAGCGUGGGAGACAGACAUCGGGUGCUAACGUCCGGUGUCAAAAGGGAAACAACCCAGACCCUCAGCUAAGGUCCCCAAGACACAGUUAAGUGGGAAACGAAGUGGGAAGGCACAGACAGUCAGGAGGUUGGCUUAGAAGCAGCCACCCUUUAAAGAAAGCGUAAUAGCUCACUGAUCGAGUCGUCCUGCGCGGAAGAUGUAACGGGGCUCAAAUUGUGCACCGAAGCUAGGGAUUUACAUUUUUGUAAGUGGUAGGAGAGCGUUCCGUAAGCCUGAGAAGGUGGCUUGUAAAGGCUGCUGGAGGUAUCGGAAGUGCGAAUGCUGACAUGAGUAGCGAUAAAGGGAGUGAAAAGCUCCCUCGCCGAAAACCCAAGGUUUCCUGUGCAACGUUCAUCGGCGCAGGGUGAGUCGGCCCCUAAGGUGAGGCAGAAAUGCGUAGCUGAUGGGAAACUGGUUAAAAUUCCAGUACCUUUUUUCAAUGCGAUGUGGGGACGAAGAAGGUUAACUCAGCCGGGUGUUGGAUGUCCCGGUUCAAGCGUGUAGACAUGCUGCUUUGGCAAAUCCGGGCAGCUGAGUUGAGACGUGAUAACGCAACACUCUUCGGAGUGCCAAGUGAGCGAUACCAUGCUUCCAGGAAAAGCCACUAAGCUUCAGUUGAUUAAAGACCGUACCGUAAACCGACACAGGUGGGUGGGAUGAGAAUUCUAAGGCGCUUGAGAGAACUCAGGAGAAGGAACUCGGCAAAAUAGCACCGUAACUUCGGGAGAAGGUGUGCCCCUUGUACGUGUAGCACCUCGCGUGUGAAGCGGAAAGGGGUUGCAAUGAAAAGGUGGCUGCGACUGUUUAUUAAAAACAUAGCACUCUGCAAACACGAAAGUGGACGUAUAGAGUGUGACGCCUGCCCGGUGCCGGAAGGUUAAAUGAUGGGGUGCAAGCUCUUGAUUGAAGCCCCGGUAAACGGCGGCCGUAACUAUAACGGUCCUAAGGUAGCGAAAUUCCUUGUCGGGUAAGUUCCGACCUGCACGAAUGGCGUAACGAUGGCCACACUGUCUCCUCCUGGGACUCAGCGAAGUUGAAAUGUUUGUGAAGAUGCAAUCUCCCCGCGGCUAGACGGAAAGACCCCGUGCACCUUUACUGUAGCUUUACAUUGGACUUUGAUAACAUUUGUGUAGGAUAGGUGGGAGGCUUUGAAGUGGGUUCGCCAGAACUCAUGGAGCCAUCCUUGAAAUACCACCCUGAUGUUGUUGGGGUUCUAACCUAGAUCCAUGAACUGGAUUGGGGACCGUGUAUGGUAGGCAGUUUGACUGGGGCGGUCUCCUCCCAAAGUGUAACGGAGGAGUACGAAGGUACGCUAGGUACGGUCGGAAAUCGUGCUGAUAGUGCAAUGGCAAAAGCGUGCUUGACUGCGAGACUGACAAGUCGAGCAGAUGCGAAAGCAGGUCAUAGUGAUCCGGUGGUUCUGUAUGGAAGGGCCAUCGCUCAACGGAUAAAAGGUACGCCGGGGAUAACAGGCUGAUUCCUCCCAAGAGUUCAUAUCGACGGGGGAGUUUGGCACCUCGAUGUCGGCUCAUCACAUCCUGGGGCUGUAGCCGGUCCCAAGGGUAUGGCUGUUCGCCAUUUAAAGUGGUACGUGAGCUGGGUUUAAAACGUCGUGAGACAGUUUGGUCCCUAUCUGCCGUGGGCGUUGGAAGUUUGAGUGGACCUGCUCCUAGUACGAGAGGACCGGAGUGGACGCACCUCUGGUGUACCGGUUAUGACGCCAGUCGUAUCGCCGGGUAGCUAAGUGCGGAAGAGAUAACCGCUGAAAGCAUCUAAGCGGGAAACUCACCAUAAGAUAAGACUUCCCGAGGAUUUAAUCCUCCUAAAGGUUCGUUGAAGACUACGACGUUGAUAGGUCGGGUGUGGAAGCAUAGUAAUAUGUUAAGCUAACCGAUACUAAUUGACCGUGCGACUUGAUCCUAUAAUUUUAAAGCUUUUACU
rnacentral:rRNA from 1 species